rnacentral:rRNA from 1 species
UACGGAGGGGGCUAGCGUUGUUCGGAAUUACUGGGCGUAAAGCGUACGUAGGCGGCUUUGUAAGUUAGAGGUGAAAGCCUGGAGCUCAACUCCAGAAUUGCCUUUAAGACUGCAUCGCUUGAAUCAUGGAGAGGCGGGUGGAAUUCCGAGUGUAGAGGUGAAAUUCGUAGAUAUUCGGAAGAACACCAGUGGCGAAGGCGGCCCGCUGGACAUGUAUUGACGCUGAGGUGCGAAAGCGUGGGGAGCAAACAGG